rnacentral:lncRNA from 1 species
AUAGUGCUUGUUUAAGGACGCUAAGCUUAUCCUUAGGAAACCAUCAAUUUAUGCCAGCGAAGUGGUUUCCCCUCCAACGCUGACCUAUAUCAAGAUUAACUCAACGAUAUCUGCAAUAUUUAUUAUAGACAUAUGCAUCGAGAACCGCCCUUUUAAAGUUUCUAUAAAUGAAGAGGAAGAGGGGGUUGGAGAUCUCAAAUGUGGUAAGGAUGGAGAGACAAAUUGAUUGGAGAGAUGUUUUAUAUGAGCAAGGACUGGGUGAGGUAU